GCGGAGCUGCUUUUCAGCAGAGACCUGCAGCAUCAGAAAGAGCCAGUGAGCUGGUGACCUGGGAAAAGAGAGUUGCAGGCAAAGGGAACGGCCAGUGCAGAGGCCGUGGGGUAAGAAUAACCUUGGUGUGCUCCAGGGACAGAAAGAAGACCAGGGCACCCAGUCCACUGAGUGGAAGGAAGAGAAAUAUGCCAAGGGUGGAAAGCCGCCGUGUAAGAAGUACCUUUCACCUUCCACCAUGAUUGUGAGGCCUCCCCAGCCACGUGGAAAUGCUGCGUCAAUGAUUGUAGUGCUAAUUGUUACAGACAUGACCACAAUGCCAAGGCGAAUGGGGACAAUGAAAUCCAUGGCUGGUUUUAAGGGCAGGUGCAGAGGAUCCAGCAUGUUAUUCUGAAACCCCAGAAGACGCUGCAGCUACCAAAUAGAAGGAGCCUGGAUCCCUGAAUGUCUUCAUGGAACAGAACAUUCUCCUCACUCCAGUCUGUUUGAACCAGAAUAUGACCUGAGCAAGAAAUAAGCCUUAAUUAUAUUUGACCAUAGAAUUCUGGUGAUAUUUCUAUGGCUGUAAGUCCAUGUUGAUUAAUACAAAGGGAUGCUGUAAAGCCUCUUCUAUUAAAAAAAGUUGCCCAAGGAGUGAAAGGAGAGAUAUUUUCUGUAAUUAAGAUUUUCAUAAUACAUAGAACAGGCUAUAGCACCUGGCAAUCAAUCAUAUGGGGUACAACAGAAAGAGGAAACAUUCCUGCUAUUAAAUUAACCAAACUGGAGUUCUUGUUAUAUAAUAUAGUAAAAUUUCCUCAAUCUUUCAGCCACCUUUAGUUCUGUAAUCUAUUAUUUCUGGGUAAAAGCAUACCAUUUGAUACACAAUCCAAACCCAAUUCUUAAUUAAUAACGUGUAUCCACUGUAUCUUACCACAUCCCAAAUCAUCUAAUACUUAACCACCUAGUUUCUAUGUUCCACUUACAUCAAACAUAUUCAUGUUUGGAAAAUUGAGCCAGCAUCUACUGCCUUAUCAGCUGAUGCAUAACAAUUUACUUUGUCUGUGCUCUAUAAUAAUGCAAGUCUGCUUGGAAAGAUAACACGUUAAAGGGUUAUCAGACCCUAACACCUUCGUAUAGAUGAAUUUAUCAGAUCCUCUGCUAAACCACUUUCGAAUCCUUGGCCAGUUCUCUACAUUUCAUGAAGAGUUAGCAUAGCCAGUCCAGGAGAUAUUAUCUUCAGGAUGUGGUCAGUUGUGGAAAGGAAGAUAGCUCUGAGGAUCUCUUUCCAGGGAAAAGAAAGACAUGAGGAUUGCUCCAAAGAUCCUCUUUCUGGGGGAAAACGCACAUACUACAGAAAGGCUACAGAAAAAAAAGCACUCCCUCAGCAACAUAUUCACAAUCUAUUUUGUUGGAAUUACAGGCCAAUCCUUUUCAGACAGUUGAGUCCAGAGAGGACUGGGAGACUGCCUGACCCCAUGGGGUGCUUGACAAGGUCAGAUUCCAGGGCCUGGUAGGCUGUUAAAACCAAAGGGGGCCAGUGCUCAUGGACAGUGAGUUAAGAGGCUCCUGACACUGGGGGUCCUUUCAGAGCACAUACAGAAGGAGGAGUGUCCUUCUGUUACACAACCUGAAUUACUGGAGAAGGGCCCGCUGGUGUCGUUCUCCUCAAUACAAUGCACCUCCUACAAUGCACCUCCACUUCUGGGAGAGGGGAAGGGGGAAAAAGAGACAGAGAAGGAGGGAGAGAGAGAGAGAAAGAGAGCGCUGUCUCCCUCCCUUCCUUCUUCCUUCCCUUCUCUCUUUCCCUUCCUCUUAUCUCUCUGUGGAUCUCUUUCAAGUAUUCCUAGAAGAAUCUGGAGCUAAAAUGAGCCUGCGUCUGAAUUUUACUCCUGGCUCUGCAACUGAUAAGCUAUGUAAUCAAGUCCCUUCCCUGCUUCUUUCUUUCUCACACACACACACACACACACACACACAGUCUCUCAUCAAAUGCUUUGUGGGUUCUUACUCUGACAAGCCAGGCAUUGUGCUAGUUACAGGAGAUAAUCUGAAAGAAAAUAGCUCCUUCUUAUAAAAUGAUGAUAGACCAGGUGAUCUCACAGGUAUAUGUUGAUGAUGGCUAGUUUAGUCUUGCUAGCUCUGCUCAUGCACCUCCCUCCUUCAAUCAUGUACCUCCCUCCUUCAAAUCAAUAUCCUCACCUGCUUUCCCAAAGCCCUCUUGCUAUUCCUUCUCCCUCUGAGGUACCAUUUUUAGCCUAGUAUCAAAAGGCACCACAGCUCUUUCCGUCCCCCACGCCACCCAUCCUCUUCCCCAGCAUCAACACCAAGCUGCCCUGAAUGCUAUGCUUUCACUCUUUCCAUCAGCAUGCAGUUACUAAUCCCUUAAUGUGACCGGAGCAGAAGUCUAAAUAACUGCUCCAUAAUCCCCUAGUAUUUGAGCAUCCAAAAUAACAUUUGCAUUUUCAUCAGGGUCUUAAAUGGUCUGGUGGCUUUCUUUUUAUAAAUUAGUAAUUUAAGUAUUUAUUUUUUAAAAAUUCAAACACAGAUAUAGAUAUGUUUAUGUAGGACUACAUAAAGAUUUAUAAUUUUAUAGAAUUACAUAAACGUGAUUAUAUUAUAUAUAGCUUUUCAUUUUCUUUCUCUCUCUCUUUCUUUUCUUUGUAUCUUCUUCCUCUCUCCAACCUCCUCCAUACUAAUAAUUCUCAGCCACAAAUCCUCCACAAAACCAUGGAACCCAUGUUAACCUUUUAUGUAUCCUUCCAUAUUUUUCUCUAUUUGUCUAGACUCACACCAGUGUCUAAUGACAUAUGUGAAGGGAUGUUCUUGGAGUACUCUUGUUCGUGGCAAAGAAUGAUUGAAUGAAUUCUGGUACAAUAAUAUAUUUCAGUUAGGCUAGGCUGCUUGUUGAUAUGGAAUAAACAACUCCAAAAGCUUAAUAACUUAAAACAAUAACAAUGGAUUGAUUGCUCAUACUAUAUGUCCAAGUCAAGCCAGUAAAGGACUCUAUUCCUCAGGGUCAUUCAGGGACCCAGGCUGAUGGAACAACUAUUACCUUAAAUAUUUCCAGUUGCUGUGCCAUGGGGAAAUGAGUUCUGGAGGGUCUCGAACCAGGUGAUUAAAUGCUUCAAGGCAGAAGUCAUAAUUCCUUGGCUAUGACUAGUCACAUGGCCCCAUUCAGCCAAAGGUGAGCCAGGAAGUGCAAUUCUACCAUGUGUCUGGAAGAGAAGAAAAAAAAAAAAGUAUUGGUGAAUAGCACUAACAACCACUACACACCCUGCACUGUAUCUUGUAUCUAUUAAUAAAGAGGAAAGAAUAAUAGCAUGUCAAGCAACUUAGAGGGAUUCUACAAGGAAUUGUUGAGUGAGAAGAUACAGAUAAAUGAGUAAAAGGAAUUGCAUUUUUUGAAAUGAUGGCUCAAAAAUCUCUACAUAUGGAUUUGCAAGUGUUUACAGGAAUAUAUAUAUAUAUAUAUAUAUAUAUAUAUAUAUAUAUAUGCUAUAGAUAUAUACGCUUACCUAGUUAUUAUCAUACAUUCUUACACCAUAAUUACCCUGGGGCCCUUGUUAAAUGUUAGAAUUCCCGGCCCCCAACCCCAAUCUAGUGAAUCCAAUCUGUUCUGUGCAUUAGUGAGAGAGCCAGGGCCUGAUACCCAAGGCUGAGUCCUUUAUUCCACCACAUGUAGCCCUCACCAUAGUGAUCCACUGAUUCCUAACAACUUCCUAAAGAAAAAUAUUGAUUCAUUGAUUUAUCCAUUUGUCCAUCCUUUUAUCUACCAAAUAUUUACGGAGACUCGACUAUCUGCAGGGACAUUGCUAGAUGCUAGGGAUGCAGUAGGGGACAAAGCAAACUUGGUCCUGUUUUGAUCUUACAGUCUAGGGUAGGAAAAACAUUUAAAAAGAGGACACCACAUUAAUUCACAUGUAUGUACAAAUUGUGAUAAUGCCUAGGUAGGAAGAGAGUGUCGUGGACAAAUAUAGUAGAGGGACAACAUUUAAAUUGGGGAGCUAAUGAUGAUGACUCAGAGCAAAGGCUAAGUAGAGAACUAUCGGGGUGGUGACCCUAUAGGCAAGGGACACAGAGCUGAGCAUAGAGCAGUCUAGGCAGGGGCGCUACCUGUGGGGAGGGCCACAGAAGGGAAUAACAGCAGGCAAGUGUGCCUGGAAGACAAUGACCUUGGAAACAGUGGUGAGAGAUGGCACCAGACCAUGCAGGGCCCUGUAGAAUGCGGUGACAAGUCUAGGCUUUAAGUGCAGUGGGAACUGUAGUAGUUAGAAGCAAGCAGGUCAGAAAGACUUGAUAUAUGUUGUCUUUUUACAGCAACUUUAGUGAGUUAUAGCUUACAUACAAUAAAAUGCACACACUUCAGAUGUUCAUUUUGAUGAGUACAUAAUACAAAUAUAUAUUCAGAUAUAUGUAUAUAUGUGUAUACUCACAUAAAUGUAUAUAUCUUUACAUCCACCACUACAAUCAAGAUAUAUA
ensembl:lncRNA novel transcript